AAGAGAGUAGUAUCAAUCGGUUAGUAUAGUGAUUUCCAAAAUCAUUGGUAGGUGUUCAAGUCGCCUCUCUCUUG
rnacentral:tRNA from 1 species